GACGAACCACACAAACGUUAUUCGGAAUUACUGGGCUUAAAGGGUGCGUAGGCGGCGUGGAAAGUUGGGUGUGAAAUCCCUCAGCUUAACUGAGGAACAGCGCCCAAAACUACCAUGCUCGAGGGAGAUAGAGGAAUGCGGAACUUAGGGUGGAGCGGUGAAAUGCGUUGAUAUCCUAGGGAACACCGGUGGCGAAAGCGGCAUCCUGGACCGACACUGACGCUGAGGCGCGAAAGCUAGGGUAGCAAACGGG
rnacentral:rRNA from 1 species